AUUGAACGCUGGCGGCAGGCCUAACACAUGCAAGUCGAACGAGUGGCGGACGGGUGAGUAAUGUAUGGGAAACUGCCUGAUGGAGGGGGAUAACUAGUGGAAACGGUAGCUAAUACCGCAUACCAUCGGAUGUGCCCAGAUGGGAUUAGCUAGUGGGUGGGGAAAAGGCUCACCUAGGCGACGCUCCCUAGCUGGUCUGAGAGGAUGACCGGCCACACUGGAACUGAGACACGGUCCAGACUCCUACGGGAGGCAGCAGUGGGGAAUAUUGGGCAAUGGGCGAAAGCCUGACGCAGCCAUGCCGCGUGUAUGAAGAAGGCCUUCGGGUCGUAAAGUACUUUCAGCGGGGAGGCGUUACCCAAAGAAGAAGCCCCGGCUAACUCCGUGCCAGCCGCCGCGGUAAUUC
rnacentral:rRNA from 1 species